AUUGAACGCUGGCGGCAUGCCUUACACAUGCAAGUCGAACGGCAGCACGGGUGCUUGCACCUGGUGGCGAGUGGCGAACGGGUGAGUAAUACAUCGGAACAUGUCCUGUAGUGGGGGAUAGCCCGGCGAAAGCCGGAUUAAUACCGCAUACGAUCUACGGAUGAAAGCGGGGGCCCUUCGGGCCUCGCGCUAUGGGGUUGGCCGAUGGCUGAUUAGCUAGUUGGUGGGGUAAAGGCCUACCAAGGCGACGAUCAGUAGCUGGUCUGAGAGGACGACCAGCCACACUGGGACUGAGACACGGCCCAGACUCCUACGGGAGGAAGCAGUGGGGAAUGUGGGACAAUGGGCGCAGGCCGGAUCCAGCCAUGCCGCGUGCAGGAUGAAGGCGCUCGGGUUGGAAAAUGCUUGUGUACGGAACGAAAAGCCUUCGGGUAAGACAGGAGGGGCAGGACGGGACCGGAAGAAUAAGCACCGGCUAACUACGUG
rnacentral:rRNA from 1 species